rnacentral:rRNA from 1 species
GAUGAACGCUAGCGGCAGGCCUAACACAUGCAAGUCGAGGGAGAAGCCCUUUCGGGGGCAGAAACCGGCGCACGGGUGCGUAACGCGUAUGCAACCUACCUUUCACAGGGGGAUAGCCCGAAGAAAUUUGGAUUAAUACCCCAUAAUAUUAUUGGAUGGCAUCAUUUGAUAAUUAAAGCUGCGGUGGUGAAAGAUGGGCAUGCGUCCUAUUAGCUAGUUGGAGUGGUAACGGCACCCCAAGGCUACGAUAGGUAGGGGUCCUGAGAGGGAGAUCCCCCACACUGGUACUGAGACAGGGACCAGACUCCUACGGGAGGCAGCAGUGAGGAAUAUUGGUCAAUGGCCGGAAGACUGAACCAGCCAUGCCGCGUGCAGGAAGAAUGCCUUAUGGGUUGUAAACUGCUUUUAUAUGGGAAGAAUAAGGCGUACGUGUACGUUGAUGACGGUACCAUAUGAAUAAGCAUCGGCUAACUCCGUG